rnacentral:rRNA from 1 species
GAGUUUGAUCCUGGCUCAGGAUGAACGCUGGCGGCGUGCUUAACACAUGCAAGUCGAACGAAGCACUUUAUUUGAUUUCCUUCGGGACUGAUUAUUUUGUGACUGAGUGGCGGACGGGUGAGUAACGCGUGGGUAACCUGCCUUGUACAGGGGGAUAACAGUUGGAAACGGCUGCUAAUACCGCAUAAGCGCACAGCAUCGCAUGAUGCAGUGUGAAAAACUCCGGUGGUAUAAGAUGGACCCGCGUUGGAUUAGCUAGUUGGUGAGGUAACGGCCCACCAAGGCGACGAUUGGUAGCCGGACUGAGAGGUUGAACGGCCACAUUGGAACUGAGACACGGUCCAAACUCCUACGGGAGGCAGCAGUGGGGAAUAUUGCACAAUGGGGGAAACCCUGAUGCAGCAACGCCGCGUGAGCGAAGAAGUAUUUCGGUAUGUAAAGCUCUAUCAGCAGGGAAGAAAAUGACGGUACCUGACUAAGAAGCACCGGCUAAAUACGUGCCAGCCGCCGCGGUAAUUC